GCCAAACUAGCGACUGUUUGAUCCUUAUUACCAAACAAAUAAAUUCUGCUUAAAUUGAUUGCUACAUGAAAUAUAUCGUCCUCAAUCAGAAAAUCCAAAGGGCAUACAAGCAAAUGUCAUACACUUCAGUCUGCUCUUGAUUGUCCUGCUGAUCCUUAUUACCAAACAAAUAAAUUCUGCUUAAAUUGAUUGCUACAUGAAAUAUAUCGUCCUCAAUCAGAAAAUCCAAAGGGCAUACAAGCAAAUGUCAUACACUUCAGUCUGCUCUUGAUUGUCCUGCUCGAGAGGAUAGAAUGAUACCAACGAUGAGGCCGUACAGAGCCAGAGCUUCAGCAAAGAUGAGGAUGAGGAUCAUUCCAACGAAGAGCUUUGGCUGUUGGGCGUUCGCUCUGACACCAGCAUCGCCGACGAUCCCGAUCGCCAUGCCGGCAGCAAGCCCGGCCAAACCGCAGGAGAGUCCAGACGAGAGGUGCGCGUAUCCGUCAAACAGAUAGUAGGACUUCGCCUUGGGGUUGAUCCCGGUGCUGAUGAUGACGGCGAUGAUGAGUCCGUAGAUCCCGAGCACUCCCGCCAUAACGACGGGGACGAUCGACUUCAUCACGAGCUCCGGCCGCAUCACCCCCAUCGACGCCACGCCAACGCCGCUCUUCGCCGUCCCGUACGCCGCCCCCAUG
rnacentral:misc_RNA from 1 species